rnacentral:misc_RNA from 1 species
CAACCCUCAAGCCCCUCCGGGUUUGGCGUUGGGGAUCGGCCCCGCCCCGGCGGCCGGCCCCGAAAUCCAGUGGCGGUCACGCCGCGGCUUCCUCUGCGUAGUAAAUACCUCGCACUGGGACGCGGCGCGGCCACGCCGUAAAUCAGACGAAAUUUCUGAA